rnacentral:rRNA from 1 species
GACGAACGCUGGCGGCGUGCCUAACACAUGCAAGUCGAACGGAAAGGCCCUGCUUUUGUGCGGUGCUCGAGUGGCGAACGGGUGAGUAACACGUGUGUAACCGGCCCUUGAUUUUGGGAUAACUUCAGGAAACUGGGGCUAAUACCGUAUAGCAGCUCCUGCUGCAGGGUGGGCGUGGGAAAGUCUCGGCGGUCGGGGUUGGAUGCGCGGCUAACCAGCUUGUUGGUGGGGGAGUGGCUUACCAAGGCUUUGACGGGUAGCCGGCCUGUGAGGGUGACCGGCCACAUGGGGCCUGAGGUAGGGACCAGACUCCUACGGGGGACAACGGGGGGGAAUAUGGCACAAUGGGCGGAAGCCUGAUGCAGAAACGCCGGGUGCGGGAUGACGGCCUUCGGGUUGUAAACCGCUUUCGCCUGUGACGAAGCGUGAGUGACGGUAAUGGGUAAAGAAGCACCGGCUAACUACGUG